UACAGAGGUGGCAAGCGUUGUUCGGAAUUACUGGGCGUAAAGGGCGCGUAGGCGGUCCGAUAAGUCCCGUGUGAAAUCCCUCGGCUCAACUGAGGAAUGGCACGGGAAACUGACGGGCUUGAGUUCGGGAGAGGGAAGCGGAAUUCCGGGUGUAGCGGUGAAAUGCGUAGAUAUCCGGAGGAACACCGGUGGCGAAGGCGGCUUUCUGGACACUUACUGACGCUGAGACGCGAAAGCGUGGGGAGCAAACAGG
rnacentral:rRNA from 1 species